CUUAAAAAAAAAAAAAAAAAAAAAAAAGAACGACCGAAAGACAGGGCCCAGCAAGCAAUAGCCGUCAUUUCAACGUCUCGGUUAAAUAUAGACCCGAUAUAGCCCGGCUAUGUGUAACCCACUUUUAGCCCAAAUAACAUUUUAAUCUGAAUAAAUGUUUUUUUUUCAAAAAUAAAUUGUGAGAUGUAUGAUAUUCCAUCAUGUAAGCAAAGUCAACUGCGAUUACAAGUUGUUUGUUUGCUUUAUUUUACAUGUUAUAUGUGUAGGCUAUGCGUAGCCACGAUUUAGCUCAUAUUCAGACCCGGCUAUAUUGUAGCCCACUUUUAGUCAAACAUUAUUAAUUGUAGUUUUUGGCCAGACAGUGCAUGAAAUGGUUGAUAUCCCAUCAUGUUCGCAUUGGUAAUGAUAUCUACAAAGUUCACUGCGUCAUUUCACGACAUGGUCGAUCUAUAGUCACGUAUUAGCUCUGAAUUGGACGGCUGCGGUCCGCUUUAGCCCACCUGAGUAAUCUGGUCUACUUACGGCUUGACUAUAGCCCUGAUUCAGACCAGCAAUAUAGUAUAAGAAUAGUAUAAGAAUAUUAGUCUCAAAAAUGUUUUUGCUCACACAGCAAUGUUUGCUGUCACACAUAAACAUAACAUUCAUACACAAUCUACGAUAUUAUUUGACUAUCAUUUCAUUUUAAAUUAAAUGCAAUUGCAUUUCUCAACCGCUAGAUGGCACAAUCGAAACACUAAUGAUUACUGGCAUUGCGCGACUAUCACUUUAGCCAGAUCUUGCGGUAAACAUUUCUGCCAUUUUAAAUUUUAUUACACGAGGCAGCUGUCGGAGAGAAGAGCAACGGGCGAGCGGCACUCUGAGAAAAUUUCUACUUCGAUCUUACGCAGUGAUGACCAACUUUCCAUCGGCAAAUGAAUGGGAAAUUAAAAAUGCAAUUUCUGGACAUUUCAAACAAGCACCAGGGAGAGCAGGGGGUGGUGGAUAUGGACAAAGAUAAUUCAUUUUUGCAUCUUAAGUUGUUUUACAUAUUUUACAAUAUUUUAUUUGAUAAUUUUUAUUUUCUAAGUUGUUAAUAUUGUUCUAAAUAAAUCCUUUAUAUUCAA